rnacentral:rRNA from 1 species
UGCGUAGGCGGGGCAAUUAGUCAGUGGUGAAAUCCUGCGGCUUAACCGUAGAACUGCCAUUGAUACUGUUGCUCUUGAGUAUAGUUGAGGUGGGCGGAAUGUGCAAUGUAGCGGUGAAAUGCAUAGAUAUUACACAGAACACCAAUUGCGAAGGCAGCUCACUAAGCUAUAACUGACGCUGAGGCACGAAAGCGUGGGGAGCGAACAGGAUUAGAUACCCUGGUAGUC